AUGCCGUGUCCGCGGCCGGCGGUCCUGCUCUCCGCGGCCGCGUGGCUGUGGCUGUUCCUGUCGGCCGCCGGCGCGCUGGCGGACGGCGGCAACGGCACGGUGUGCCUGUGCACGGGCCCGCGGUGCGUGCCGCCCUGCCCCGUCCCUGGGACGACGCCGCCGACGACGUCGCCCACGCAGUUCCCCUUCUGCCCGCAGCGGCCGCCGGCGGUGGGGCCCUUCCCGUGGGAGCAGCAGCCGCCGGCGUCGCCGAGGUCGGGGUCGGGGUUCCCCCAGGACGCGGGCUUCCUCGCGGCAGCUGCGGCGAGCCCCACUAGGAAUCCGGCGGCGUGGCUGGCGGUGGCCGCCGUGUGCUCUGCUUUGCUGCUGCUCCUGCAGCAGUGA
rnacentral:rRNA from 1 species